CAGUCGCCACGGGAAUACGUAGGGUGCAAGCGUUAAUCGGAAUUACUGGGCGUAAAGCGUGCGCAGGCGGUUUGUUAAGACAGGUGUGAAAUCCCCGGGCUUAACCUGGGAACUGCGCUUGUGACUGCACAGCUAGAGUAUGGCAGAGGGGGGUGGAAUUCCACGUGUGGCAGUGAAAUGCGUAGAGAUGUGGAGGAACACCGAUGACGAAGGCAGCCCCCUGGGCCAAUACUGACGCUCAUGCACGAAAGCGUGGGGAGCAAACAGGAUUAGAUACCCCGGUAGUCCCUGUCUCUUAUAC
rnacentral:rRNA from 1 species